rnacentral:rRNA from 1 species
GAUGAACGCUGGCGGCGUGCCUAAUACAUGCAAGUCGAGCGAACAGACGAGGAGCUUGCUCCUCUGACGUUAGCGGCGGACGGGUGAGUAACACGUGGAUAACCUACCUAUAAGACUGGGAUAACUUCGGGAAACCGGAGCUAAUACCGGAUAAUAUAUUGAACCGCAUGGUUCAAUAGUGAAAGACGGUUUUGCUGUCACUUAUAGAUGGAUCCGCGCCGCAUUAGCUAGUUGGUAAGGUAACGGCUUACCAAGGCAACGAUGCGUAGCCGACCUGAGAGGGUGAUCGGCCACACUGGAACUGAGACACGGUCCAGACUCCUACGGGAGGCAGCAGUAGGGAAUCUUCCGCAAUGGGCGAAAGCCUGACGGAGCAACGCCGCGCGAGUGAUGAAGGUCUUCGGAUCGUAAAACUCUGUUAUUAGGGAAGAACAAAUGUGUAAGUAACUAUGCACGUCUUGACGGUACCUAAUCAGAGAGCCACGGCUAGCUACGUG